UUAAAAAUGUCUUAUACGUUCACACUUCAUAUAUUAUGACCUUUUUUCAAUAUCUAAUUUGAUACCGACAGACUUUUUGGUUCUCAUGGUCGAAAUCAUCAACAACAUUUGAAUUUUCUCCGGCUAAAAAGUUGUUCAAAGAUUGGAUAUGACCAUCAGACCCUAGGUUUAGUUGGCGGGAAAGUGCAUUCAGCAGCGAUUAGCUUAUUAAUUUUGAGAGGCGCUUACAUGUGAUGUGGUGGAUCCGUUGAUCCUCGAACUUCGUGUCUUUGCUUCACAUGAUCGUAACACUAACGUUUUUAAAUGCAUGUAACGAUUUGGUGAUGUCAAAAAAAAGAAACGCAUGUAAGACACCUUUUUGAGAGGCGCUUACAUGUGGAUGUGGUGAAUAACAUGAAACACUUUUUUGGCC